UACGUAGGGUCCGAGCGUUGUCCGGAAUUAUUGGGCGUAAAGGGCUCGUAGGCGGUUUGUCGCGUCGGGAGUGAAAACACCGGGCUUAACUCGGUGCUUGCUUUCGAUACGGGCAGACUAGAGGCAUGCAGGGGAGAAUGGAAUUCCUGGUGUAGCGGUGAAAUGCGCAGAUAUCAGGAGGAACACCGGUGGCGAAGGCGGUUCUCUGGGCAUUACCUGACGCUGAGGAGCGAAAGCAUGGGGAGCGAACAGG
rnacentral:rRNA from 1 species